UACGUAGGGUGCGAGCGUUGUCCGGAAUUACUGGGCGUAAAGGGCGCGUAGGCGGCCUGUUAAGUCGAACGUGAAAUCCCCGGGCUCAACCCGGGAACUGCGUCCGAUACUGGCAGGCUUGAAUUCGGGAGAGGGAUGCGGAAUUCCAGGUGUAGCGGUGAAAUGCGUAGAUAUCUGGAGGAACACCGGUGGCGAAGGCGGCAUCCUGGACCAACACUGACACUGAGGAGCGAAAGCCAGGGGAGCAAACGGG
rnacentral:rRNA from 1 species